CCUACGGGAGGCUGCAGUGGGGAAUAUUGGACAAUGGGCGAAAGCCUGAUCCAGCCAUGCCGCGUGUGUGAAGAAGGCCUUCGGGUUGUAAAGCACUUUCAGUGGGGAAGAAAGUCUUGGGGCUAAUACCCUCGAGGAAGGACAUCACCCACAGAAGAAGCACCGGCUAACUCCGUGCCAGCAGCCGCGGUAAUACGGAGGGUGCGAGCGUUAAUCGGAAUUACUGGGCGUAAAGCGCGCGUAGGCGGUCUGAUAAGCCGGUUGUGAAAGCCCCGGGCUCAACCUGGGAACGGCAUCCGGAACUGUCAGGCUAGAGUGCAGGAGAGGAAGGUAGAAUUCCCGGUGUAGCGGUGAAAUGCGUAGAGAUCGGGAGGAAUACCAGUGGCGAAGGCGGCCUUCUGGACUGACACUGACGCUGAGGUGCGAAAGCGUGGGUAGCAAACAGGAUUAGAUACCCCUGUAGUC
rnacentral:rRNA from 1 species